CUGGAGUAGGCUUGCAGGCCCCAAGCAAGCGGAGGCAGGCAGGCAAGGCAGGCAGGCAGAGUGGCCCCUACAGCUCUCUGCAGCAGACCCCCUGCCCUGCCCCUGCCCUGCCCUGCCCAGCCCAGCCCAGCAUUUGCCAGUAGGAGUCAGCAUUUCAGUGCUCUCAGAAGGCUCUUAACAGAUGGAAAGAAUGAAAGCAGAGCCAACCCUGCAGCCUUCAGAUACAGAAUCUCAUAAAAGGAAGGUUAUUUCAGUGCAGUGGGUUACAUGCAGCUCAUAAAGACGGAUCCUCAUGCAAUUAAGGCCACAGUCCUAAGCCUAAUAAUUUGAGAAUAAGUCCUACUGAAUUUAGAGAGACUAACCUCUAAACAAACAUGCAUAAGAAAAGCAGCGAGAAGCAACAUAGAAGAAUAGUGCUUAAAAGUUCAAUGAGAAGCAAGCCCAUUCGCAGUAAUUCUGACUGAUCUCCAAGAUGAGAUAUUGUUGCCAUAGUUUCCAAACAUCGGUGUAAUGUAAAUGAGCGCUACACUUACCAGAUGGGGACAUAUAUUCUGCAUUUGCCCUACAAACCACCUGGACUGGCAGAUUGCACAUUUGCAAAAAGGCCUGAAAAUAAGAGUAAAUAAAAGGUUAAAAAAUAUUAUCUGAAGGCAAAAUAAUUUUUCUUUUAAUUGUUCAAAGUUUAAGCUCAGAACAGGUGCAUAUCUUUUUCAAAAGCUCUUUGCCAAACCAACCAACACCACCACAGGGCUUCUAAAUAUAAGCUUCCUACAUUCCACUGAUCAAAAUAUCUGUUUUACCACCUCAGUUGCUGCUGCUACUUCUGCAAAUAAUUAGUUCUCAGAGAAGGCAAACAGAAUUAUGUCAACCCCAAAUGUAUGCACUGGUCUAUAUCCUUUAUUCAAUUACUUUGGCUUAGCCAAGGUAUCAUCUCUCUCUCUCUCUCCCUGCCCCCAUAUUGAAAAAAAGAUGAUCUUACAUUACAUUGACUUCGACUUGCCGUCUUAUUUCCUUUAUCCUACUUUCUGGUUUGGAAGAGAGCAAUGAUUUCCACAACUUUAAAAUGAAUUAGUGAGAAUACCAUCAGCGGACACAUUGUUGCUUCUUUACUACUAUUCCAAGAUUAAAACCAUUUGCAUAUGAAUCCCAUUUCUUACCUAUUAUUCCACCCCUACCGAGGCUGCACAGAGAAGCCUACUUUUAUGAAGUAGAAAGGUGCGAGUUUUGUUGUUGUUCCUGUGUCAUUCCCAUAUUUGGCUGAGUAUUAAAUAUACUUUGCCAAACCUAGAGCACAAAAAGCUGCCAUGUGCAUGUGCUUCCUAAAACUCAGCUGUACUGACCCUGAAGGGCUCUCCUAAUAGAUUUGACCCCUAGGUUCUCAAGCUGAAUAGAGGAAGCUCCCUUUUAUGGAAUCAGAUCAUCGGUCCUAGCUCAGUAUUGUCUACACUGGCUGCAAGCAGCUCUGCUUGGAAAUGCCAGGGGCCUUCUGCAUGCACAGCAUGUGACUGACCACUGAGCUACGACCCCCUCCCCUUUCGGGCUGGAACCCACUCAAGGGUGAGACUUCUACAUAGGAGUAGUGACCGCUGGGACUCUCUGAGCAACCUGUCAGUGCUACAAAACAAGCCGAGGCAAAGGAGUCUCUCUCUUAGAGCCCUCAAGCAUCUGGGAGCAAGGAGGCACUCAGCUGCUUCCCAUUUCUAGCAUAAGGAAGCAGAUUCCACUGCCACAACAGAAAAUGAGGGUGCAGAGAAUGAGGACAAUUGUGUGUAGAGUGGGGAAGAAACAUUCCUGCUAAUAUGCCCUUUUGUCCUGGGCCAAAGAUUCUCAUGCGCAGUAGCACAAUGCUUCCUGCUACAUACGAGAAUCUCUAAAAACUCUCCUACGAAACAUGUGGUUGAGUUAUAUCAGGCAGGAAGGUGUCUGUCCCUGAAAGACUAAGCUGAGAAGGGAAAACCUCAAUCUGAAACAUUUUGAGAAACAUCAACUUAAACAGAGCCUUUUAGGAGCCACACGUUAUUACAAAUAAAUCCAAACAAUUUGAAGUGGUAUCAUGAUGAGUAAUAUUUUCAACACAGCUCCAAAAAAUGUCAUUAUAAAACAUAUGGUAUAAAGAAAGGAUUUUUAAAAGAAAACAAAAACAAAGCGUGCACGCACACACAGAGAAAGCUGUAACAGCAACUGAAGAAUAAUUCUCCAACUUAACUGAAAAAUGUCUUUACAUUGUAAAGCAUGAACAAAUGUAUAAAAUAUUCCUGUUUUCCUAUCAAGCAAUGGCAGACCCGGUAAACUGAAAAAGUCUGUCUGAAAUUACAAAUGAAAACUGUUCAGUAUCAUUCCUGGAGUGACAGAUUAUAUUCCUAAUCCAGUUAUGGUAAUAGCCGCAUUUGUAGUUUAACAUAAAUUAAGAGUUUAAUUGUAUUUGUGACUACUUUAAACAAAGUAACAAAUUCCUUUGUACCUGUAAAUGUAAUUUAUAGCAAAGCCAGGUUCAUUUUCCAAAACAAUCUGUUUUAUACUGCACUGGAAUGCUGCUGUAAUGGUAUAAUGUAAUUCCUGCUGCAGAAUGGGAGAAGAGGAGACUCACUGGUAGCACAGAGGAGGUUUUGAAGAUAAAUGAAGAUGCUAUUCAUUCAGGGGUAAUUUCAUCUUAGAACCAUAUGAAAGAUGUUUCACUCAGACACAGUAGAUGCCUGGCUUGGGAUUUCAGUCUAUU